rnacentral:rRNA from 1 species
CAUGGCUCAGGACGAACGCUGGCGGCGUGCCUAAUACAUGCAAGUAGAACGCUGAAGGAGGAGCUUGCUCUUCUGGAUGAGUUGCGAACGGGUGAGUAACGCGUAGGUAACCUGCCUGGUAGCGGGGGAUAACUAUUGGAAACGAUAGCUAAUACCGCAUAAUAGCAGUUGUUGCAUGACAACUGUUUGAAAGGUGCAAUUGCACCACUACCAGAUGGACCUGCGUUGUAUUAGCUAGUUGGUGGGGUAACGGCUCACCAAGGCGACGAUACAUAGCCGACCUGAGAGGGUGAGCGGCCACACGGGGACUGAGACACGGCACAGACUUCUAC